GCUCAGCCGUAAACAAUUAACUUACACCUACAACGCCAGGGAAUUACGAGCCAUGCUUAAAACCCAAAGGACUUGACGGUGCCUACCCACUAGAGGAGCCUGUUCUGAUAUCGAUAAUCCCCGCUACACCUCAACCACUCCUAGCUAAUCAGCCUGUAUACCUCCGUCGAAAGCCCACCAUGUGAACGCUAUAGUAGGCUCAAUGACAACUCAUCAGCACGUCAGGUCAAGGUGCAUCCAAUGGAGUGGAAGAAAUGGGCUACAAUUUCUAACAUAGAACAAACGAAAUACUGUGUGAAACCACGGUCAUGAAGGUGGAUUUAGUAGUAAGAAGAAAAUAGAGUGUUCUUCUUAACCAGGCCAUGGGGCAUUUCGAUAACCCCCAAAACGUUUAUAACCAACCAACUACACCAUAGAAGAGGCAAGUCGUAACAAGGUAAGUGUACUGGAAAGUGCACUUGGACAUCAAAAUAUAGCCUAA
rnacentral:rRNA from 1 species